rnacentral:misc_RNA from 1 species
UCCAGCUUAUCGCUGGCGGUCUCCUGCGAGUUCCCAACUUAAUGAUGGCAACACAGGACAAGGGUUGCGCUCGUUGCGGGACUUAACCCAACAUCUCACGACACGAGCUGACGACAGCCAUGCACCACCUGUGAUCCUGCCCGUGAGGGAAGCCCUGUUUCCAGGGCGGUCAGGAACAUGUCAAACCCAGGUAAGGUUCUUCGCGUUGCGUCGAAUUAAACCACAUGCUCCGCUGCUUGUGCGGGCCCCCGUCAAUUCCUUUGAGUUUCAACCUUGCGGUCGUACUCCCCAGGCGGGGUACUUCCUGCGUUAGCGCCGGCACCCAGAGGGGCUAAUCCCCCCCGACAUCUAGUUCUCAUCGUUUACGGCGUGGACUAC